rnacentral:rRNA from 1 species
CACGUAGGGGGCAAGCGUUGUCCGGAUUUAUUGGGCGUAAAGAGCUCGUAGGCGGCUUGUCGCGUCGUCCGUGAAAACUUGGGGCUCAACCCCAAGCUUGCGGGUCGAUACGGGCAGGCUAGAGUUCGGUAGGGGAGACUGGAAUUCCUGGUGUAGCGGUGAAAUGCGCAGAUAGUCAGGAGGAACACCGAUGGCGAAGGCAGGUCUCGUGGGCAUUAACUGACGCUGAGGAGCGAAAGCAUGGGGAGCGAACAGGAUAGAUACCCC